UGGGGAAUUUUGGACAAUGGGGGAAACCCUGAUCCAGCCAUCCCGCGUGUGCGAUGAAGGCCCUCGGGUUGUAAAGCACUUUUGGCAGGAAAGAAACGUCAUGGGUAAAUACCCCGUGAAACUGACGGUACCCGCAGAAUAAGCACCGGCUAACUACGUGCCAGCAACCGUGGUAAUACGUAGGGUGCAAGCGUUAAUCGGAAUUACUGGGCGUAAAGCGUGCGUAGGCGGUUCGGAAAGAAGGAUGUGAAAUCCCAGAGCUCAACUUUGGAACUGCAUUUUAAACUCCCGGGUUGGAGUGUGUCAGAGGGAGGUGAAAUUCCACGUGUGGCAGUAAAAUGCGUAGUUAUGCGGAGGAACACCGAUGGCGAAGGCAGCCACCUGGGAUAACACGAACGCGAAUGGAGGAAGGGGGGGGAGGCAAACAGGA
rnacentral:rRNA from 1 species